UAUUAUUUUAUUUAAUAAAAAGAAAAAUUUUUAAAUAAGUAUAUUUAAAAAUAAAAAUUAAAAAAUUUGGCAGUAUUUUAUAAAAUUAGAGGAUUUUGUUUAUUAAUUGAUGAUACACUAUAAAUUUUACUUGUUUUAUUAUUAAUUUGUAUAUCAUUGUCAUAAAAUUAUAUUUAAAAAUAUUAUUUUUAAAAAUAUAAAUUAAAUAAAAAUGUCAAAUUAAUAUGCAGUUUAUAAAUAAGGUUAAAAUGAAAUACAAUAAAAUUAUUUAAAUGGUUAAUUAAUUGAAAUAUUAAUUAUAAAGUGGAUUUAAUAGUAAAUUUUAAUAUUUAUUAAUUUUGAAAUAUGAUUAAAAUGUGCACAUAUUGCCCGUCGC
rnacentral:rRNA from 1 species